CAGUUUUACUUGGCAGCAGAAGGUGUGACUUUGUAGCACGACAGUUCUGUCUUGCUGUCUCCUUGCCAGUGUUCCAUAGCUCUGCAGGUUUGUUUCCUGUCAGCGUUCCCUAGUUCUCCAGGUUACAGUUAAUAUUGGAAUGGUUACCCUGGGCAAGUCCCUGUGUCCCUUUGACGGUGGCCUAGGAGAUGCCUGGAAGAUGGGAUGAUGAACUGCUUUGUGAUCUCUCUGGAGUGUGGAGUCUGAUGGGGUAACUGGACAGUGUCAGACACAGUACAGCAACUUUGUGCUCUUCUGCUCAGACCAAGAAAUGAGAGGCUCACUGGCAGUUUCAGAGUAACAAGAGUAACAAGUGAUGAUAAUCUUUCUCCGCACAAUGACAUCUUUAAGAGCCAGAGAGAAAAUUACAGUCAAAACCACGUGCAUUCAGGCAAUUUAGACAAUUUUCUGUGUGCAGACAAAAUCCCUGGAUUUCUCCUCAGUGUUUAUCAAGAUUGUGCAGCGUCGUGUCCGUGAACUUCCAGAGUUUGCAUUAAAAAGUGACAGAACAUCAGAGUGCCAGAAGCUUCUCAUUUUGUGGCCCUGAAGGCACCGUGGUGGAUUCCAGCAGCCUUGAGAGGACAGGGUGGAGAGAGGAAGGACGAGGGGACAGUCUGACUGUUGUCAGCAGAGAUCCACAAACACUCUUCUAAGAGUUGCUCUGGAGAAACUGUUCUGUGUGGGCACAAUUUGGGGAGCCUCCAGAGUGACCUGAGCUCUUCAGGAGGCCACCAAGGGCAGGUGAGGGAGUAAAGGCCAAAUCAGUGGCCACUUUUAGCAGUGACACUCUGCAGCCCAGUCUGCAGUGCCAGAUGGGCCAUGUGAACCUGUUGCAGCCACAAGGAACCUGUCCCUGUGCAGGUCUCGCCUCACUUUCCUCCUCAGUUUAAAGCUGGUCUGGUUAUCUAUCCCUGCAUGGGGCCUCUGAUCACAAUCUUUUCCUGAGCUGUUCCUCCCAUGGCCAGGCCUGUUCGUGGCCUGUAGCACUGUAGCACUGCCAGGCCAGCGAGUUUAUACACACACAUCUUGAGAUGUGCUGCUGCUUAAACAAGGUUAGCCAGAGCCUCAUUACCAAGAUUUACACUGUCAGUUACAGAGAUGCCCAUCCAAUCCUAUAACACAUAAAUUUAUGGGCAUCACAGCGAAUUUUUUAUUGUUAGAGCUCAUAUACAAUGUGUGCCCUUAGUGACACAUUUUUAAAUAAAAUAUAUUGUACUAGUGAUUUCUAAUGCUUAAAAUAAAAUAAAAUAAUAAUCAACUUUUAGCUACAGUUUCCCCCUGGUUAUUGAGCUGAACUUAAUGACUGGCUGAAAAGUAUUUGUCAACACAACAGCUGGAGAGCAACACUUUCUUGUGGCUUUAUGUCACAGCAUAUGCCAGCCACUCAGAACAUGUGAUAAUUCAACUGGAGCUGGUACUACAAUAGCAGAUGGGUUGAAGCAUUGUUAUUCUCACUCUAGCUCCCAGCCCUUGAGGGAUCACUAAAUAAAAUCAAAGCAGAUGGACCAUUACAAGCUCAUUUGUGUUCACUACAAGCACCUCAACCUCCAGUUGUGAUAUACUGCACCUUUGUAUAAAAUGACAUGUAUGGUAACAUGGCCUAAUGAAAAUAGCAUCAGACUUGGCAAGUGAGGAAUGAGACUGGGAAAUAUUCACAGAUCUAUUUAUCACUGAGUUCUUACCUUGCAGAAAGGGUUCAUUCCUGUCCCUCUCUCACCACCCCCCUGCCCCAAAGUUUAUCAUAGUAUUUUUCUCCAUGUUUAUAGUUUAAUUUCCUCACACUUGUCACAGGAACUAAGAGGUGGCUGCUGGUUCUGGCUGUAGGAGCCAAGCAGGACUCCCAGUGCAUGCAAAGACAGGAAGAGUGCUACUAAUCAGGAGUGUAAAGCUCAUUCCUACACCCCCUUGAUGAAUCUGCUAAUCCAGGAGGCCCCCAGGGGUCAAGGCUUUAGCACCUACUGGCACCAGUACCUGCAGGGACCAGGACACUCUGUCCAUUUCUCAGCAGUUAGUGCCAAUUCCCAAGUGGAACCCCUCUCAAAUAUGAGCUUUUUAGAUCUGCAUGUAUCUUAUCCUUUUUCACGCCCAGUUCUAAAAAGCUUCUGUGCCCUACUGCAGACACAGCUGCAUUCAGUGCUAAAUAGAAUAUACUGUGAACUUAUUCAACGCUUUGAGCAUUCUGUUUUUCCCUGUAUAAACAAGAACAGUGGGAGUAGACAGUGUUUGGGGAGAGUUAAUUACAUUCUGUCUCCAUGAAAGACCCAUAUAAGACUAUAAAACUUCAGGAAAAGCUCUGUAGAUCACCUGACUGCCAUAGCUCCCCUCAUCCAGCUGCUGCUGGGCUUUAAAGAGCCAAAGAGGUGCAGCAGUGGAAGCCAAAGGAAUCACUUCAUUUGGGUUGGUAAAUACAGUUGAACUUCAGUGACUGCAGCAAGCAGCUGAAAGACUUGUCCAGCUUUUUAUGUGAAACAGCCUUUUUCUGAAUGUCUGAAUUGUCUGAAAUGAUGAAUGGAUCAGAUAAUAUUUCUCACCUGACCCAGAAAGUGCAGGGCAGCUGGGCAGUGUCAAGGACAGUGCUGCCAGGGAGAACACUGUGUGCAGCUUUGUUUGUUCUUCCUGAGCACUCUCUGCUCGGUGCAGUGCCUCAUCCUAAACUGCAAAUUUGUGAUACUCUGUCAGAAGCAUGUGCAGGUCAGGCCAGGCAUCAGCACUGCCCCUUAUCUGCUGGCCAGCUUUCCUAUCAGCCCAACUAAUUUGCUAAGAUAAUUCUGCUUCCUGCUAUCUAUUACAAUAAAUCAACCACUGUAGCUUCAUUGAAUUCUCUGCCAGCUGAUGCCCUUGAAAUUCUCAAACUGUAUGGGGGGCUGGAGGGAAACCUGUACUCUUCUAAAUAUAUGAAAAUUUUAGAUGAACAUCUUGAUAGCCUGGGCAGUGCUGUAUCUCCUCAGCCCCACAUUAAUGGUGUGCCAGAGUCUGCUCAGGUUGAGGCAAACCCCAUUGCAUCAGUCAUUCCUUUGAAAACAAGUUUUUGGAAUAAUGUGAUCUCGGGUGGUAAAGCAAGUUUGUGGGUAAAUGCAGACAUGGCAAGUGACACUGAGAGAUAGAGAACAGGAGCACAUGCUCAAGAAAGAGCCAGAGUAAAAUGACAAGGGAUUCACUGUGGUGGCUGUUGAAGAAAAAAAAUAAAGGUGUUCCGUUCUCUGACAAUUAAUUUUGAAGAGGAAAAAAAUGUUGAGGAUGGGUGCAAAUUGAAGAAACAUGAAGCAUCCCCACGCAUGCCUACUACAGGAACAAGACUUCAGGGGAGAAACUCUGUUCUGCUUUUCCUUACAGCAAUAUCAAAUACUGCGAGUAGCAGUGAUACUACAUUUCACAGCCAUAUUUAAAGUUAGAAGAUACAUCAGUUUAUGUCCUACUUGUGUAGUUUUAUGUAGUUAUUUAAUAAUGCCAAGUUUUGGGUUUUUUAU